UGAAGAAGUAGCAAAAGGAACAUCUACAAACUACAAGUCUAAAUCUGGAGGUGCAAAGAAGAAAUGAUUGGAAAGCAAUAUCAGCACUCAAAACAUUGGAACCUGUCGACUGAGCAGGGUUAGAAGAGAAUGUAAUUUUUUGUUUCCUUGAGGGGUGGCCUAUCAAUGAAGUUGCAUGGGUCAUAGAAAGAUAAACUUCGCCAUGUUGCUCGAGCCUUAUACGAGGCUAUCACCAUCCUCUAGGUGAGCUAGCAGUGGCUUGAGGAUCUGGAUCUCAACCUUAUGUCUCGGGACAUGGAUCUUUGCAUCAACGUCUUCAGCCAUCGAGAAGCAUAGGAAGAAGGUUGCAAUGUACCUUGCUUUGUAAA